AACGAACGCUGGCGGCGUGCUUAACACAUGCAAGUCGAGCGGGAUCCAACCGGUGGCAACACCGGGGAAGAUCUAGCGGCGAACGGGUGAGUAACACGUGAGCAACCUGCCCCGAAGACUGGGAUAACACCGGGAAACCGGUGCUAAUACCGGAUGUCGUCAUUAGGCCGCAUGACCUGAUGAUGAAAGGAUUCAUCGCUUCGGGAGGGGCUCGCGGGCUAUCAGCUUGNGGUGGGGUAACGGCCUACCAAGGCGACGACGGCUAGCUGGUCUGAGAGGACGACCAGCCACACUGGGACUGAGACACGGGCCCAGACUCCUACGGGAGGCAGCAGUGGGGAAUCUUGCGCAAUGGGCGAAAGCCUGACGCAGCGACGCCGCGUGAGGGAUGACGGCCU
rnacentral:rRNA from 1 species